rnacentral:rRNA from 1 species
UCGAGAAUAGUCUACAAUGGACGAAAGUCUGAUAGUGCGACGCCGCGUGAACGAAGAGACCUCUCGGGGUGUAAAGUUCUUUUCUGUGCGAGCAGUGGUGGUUACAGUAAUAUGGUGAUCACUUUGAUAUUAGUACAGGAAUAAGCCACGGCUAACUCCGUGCCAGCAGCCGCGGUAACACGGGGGUUGCAAGCGUUGUCCGGAAUUACUAGGCGUAAAGGGCAGGUAGGCGGAUAUAUAAGUUUUGUGUUAAAGGCAUCGGCUUAACCGGUGUAAGGCAUAGGAUACUGUAUAUCUGGAAUGCGGUUGAGGAAGACAGAAUUCCUGGUGUAGCGGUGGAAUGCGCAGAGAUCAGGAGGAAUACCAAAGGCGAAGGCAGUCUUCUAAGCCGAUAGUGACGCUAAACUGCGAAGGGGUGGGUAUCAAACA